rnacentral:rRNA from 1 species
AUGGCAAGAGUUGGAGUUACAAAUAUGGAAAGUUACAUCCGGGGUGUUACAAUUUACCCAAGUGGUCAUCCAAUCAGGAGAGGAAGACUGACAAGGAAAUGGUUAGCUGAAGGAUUCGUCAAACAAGACCAUAGACGCAAUGCCCACAGAGUCACCAUUGACAAUUUUGAUGAGCUGGUUGACAGGAGUAUCAUUCAGCCUAUUGACGCCAGCAGCAGCAACAGUGUAGAGGUGAAGAGAUACCAAAUUCCCGGCAUGAUGCUCGGGUUCAUCCUGCACAAGUCCAUGUGUGAGAACUUUGUUACCUUGUUAUAUGAUCAGGAUCCCCUACCCGGGAGUAAUAUCCGGUGGCUUUCUCUGCAUCAUAAAAGGGCAGUAAGGUCCAAAAUGAAUCCAAAGGAUUUACUUCUUGUCCGGUCUUUGACAGUCUUCGGUAAGGCACACACAUCUGUGUUGGACUUUCCCAAGUAUGAACUGAUGCGAGUUUUGGAUCUAGAAGAAUGCGAUGAACACUUGAAGGUCAAGCAUCUCAAGAAGAUAUGCAGCAACCUGUUGCUGCUCAGGUACCUAAGCCUUGGAAGCUCUCUUAAGGUUCUAGUGCUUCCAAAGGAGAUUAAGAAACUUCAAUUCUUGGAGACACUGGAUCUAAGAAGAUCGAACAUAGAGAUUCUGCCUACACAAGUC